rnacentral:misc_RNA from 1 species
UCUCCCAAGUGUCAUCAGUUAA